GAUGAACGCUGCCAGAAUGCUUAACACAUGCAAGUCAAAUUGUGGCGGACGGGUGAGUAACGCGAAAAGAACUUGCCUCCCAGCUAGGGACAACCUUUGGAAACGAAUGCUAAUACCUGAUACGGGGAGAGAGCUUUGCGUCCCAUUAGCUAGUGGGGGCGGUAACGGAUGACCAAGGCGAUGAUGGGUAGCAGGCCUGAGAGGAUGAUCGGCCACAAGGGGACUGAGAUCCGGCACUUACUGCUACGGGAGGCAUCGGUGGGGAAGAGUGGGCAAUGGACCAAAGUCUGAUCCAGCAAUUCUGUGUGCACGAUGAAGUUUUCGUAAUGUAAAGUGCUUUCAGUUGGGAAUCGGUACCAACAGAAGAAGUGACGGCUAAAUACGUGCCAGCAGCCGCGGUAAUUC
rnacentral:rRNA from 1 species